UCGCUUGAAAUACAGAGGAAAGUCCGGGCUUCACAGGGCAGGAUGCCGGAUAACGUCCGGUGGAGGUGACUCCAAGGAAAGUGCAACAGAAAGUAUACCGCCUGCCUUCACAGGCAGGUAAGGGUGAAAUGGCAGUGUAAGAGACUACCGCCCGGGUGGUAACACGCGGGGCAUUGUAAACCCCAUCCGAAGCAAGACCAAGAAGAAGCAAUACGGUUGCCCGCCGUGCUUCGGGUAGGUCGCUUGAGGUCGCCGGCAACGGCGAUCCUAGAUAGAUGAUUGUCGCGGAUAUUCCGUACAGAACCCGGCUUAUGGU
rnacentral:RNase_P_RNA from 1 species